CGAAAGCCUGACGGAGCAAGACCGCGUGAGGGAGGAAGGCCCUUGGGUUGUAAACCUCUUUUCUCAGGGAAGAAACCUGACGGUACCUGAGGAAUCAGCAUCGGCUAACUCCGUGCCAGCAGCCGCGGUAAGACGGAGGAUGCAAGCGUUAUCCGGAAUUAUUGGGCGUAAAGCGUCCGCAGGUGGUGAGUCAAGUCUGCUGUCAAAGCCAGGAGCUCAACUCCUGUCCGGCAGUGGGAACUGACCCACUCGAGGGUGGUAGGGGUAGAGGGAAUGCCCAGUGUAGCGGUGAAAUGCGUAGAGAUUGGGAAGAACACCAGUGGCGAAGGCGCUCUACUGGGCCGCGACUGACGCUGAGGGACGAAAGCUAGGGGAGCG
rnacentral:rRNA from 1 species